UUGGAAGAAGUUGAUCCUGGCUCAGGACGAACGCUGGCGGCGUGCCUAAUACAUGCAAGUCGAGCGGAGCACUUCGGUGCUUAGCGGCGGACGGGUGAGUAACACGUAGGCAACCUGCCUGUAAGAUCGGGAUAACUACCGGAAACGGUAGCUAAGACCGGAUAGCUGGUUUCGGUGCAUGCCGGAAUCAUGAAACACGGGGCAACCUGUGGCUUACAGAUGGGCCUGCGGCGCAUUAGCUAGUUGGCGGGGUAAUGGCCCACCAAGGCGACGAUGCGUAGCCGACCUGAGAGGGUGAUCGGCCACACUGGGACUGAGACACGGCCCAGACUCCUACGGGAGGCAGCAGUAGGGAAUCUUCCGCAAUGGGCGCAAGCCUGACGGAGCAACGCCGCGUGAGUGAUGAAGGUUUUCGGAUCGUAAAGCUCUGUUGCCAGGGAAGAAUGUCGUGGAGAGUAACUGCUCUGCGAAUGACGGUACCUAGAAGAAAGCCC
rnacentral:rRNA from 1 species